UACAGAGGGUGCGAGCGUUAAUCGGAAUUACUGGGCGUAAAGCGUGCGUAGACGGUUAUUUAAGUCGGGUGUGAAAGCCCCGGGCUCAACCUGGGAAUUGCAUUCGAGACUGAAUAGCUAGGGUACGGUAGAGGGAAGUGGAAUUUCCGGUGUAGCGGUGAAAUGCGUAGAUAUCGGGAGGAACACCAGUGGCGAAGGCGGCGAUCUGGGUCGAUACUGACGCUGAGGUGCGAAAGCGUGGGGAGCAAACAGG
rnacentral:rRNA from 1 species